GUGCCCAGGUACUUGUGCUUUUCAAAGCUGUUAACCCACCCUGAAUUCCCCAGUCAGUGGUUUCAGGAUACCUGACCCUAACCCUAACUUUUCCCAACUGGGAGCUUGCAUUUCCCAGCUCAUUUUUGAUGCUGGUCGAUGAUCUCACGAUGUUGGUAGCUUUACCUCGGCGGGAGCUGAGUCCUCGAUCACUCUCGGUACAAAGCAAACAACACUUUGCGGGGCUGUUGGGCCGGGCAUAUAAUGGAUGUCCAUGCAUACGUAUGCACAUUCUACAGUCUAGGGGAUGAAGAACAAUCAAAUUUGAUUCAGCGAGGAUCAAUAUCAAAACUUGCGUCUCCCGGUCAGGUUCGUCGGUCUUCUCAAUAAUAUACGCAUUCAACCAGUGGAGUGAUUAUUGUUGACCAAUAUGACUACUCUGGUCAUACAUUUGCUUUUGACGAUGCUGCGACGACUUCCCUAACAAAGCGGAGCUGGCAUAGCUUUUAGGCAUCAUUACCACCGGACCAACAUCGCUCUCGCAUUCUUGUUGACACUGAUUUAGCUUCGGCGUUUUGGUUUGUUUGAUGACUUCAAGGGUCAAUGCACAGUUCAAUCCAAUGAUAAAAUCAAAUCUGUAUUUGCCACAAAUUCUUGGUCGAGGUCUUCCCGGGGCUGUUCCCAUCCAUCCAAAAACAUCUGACAUUCCACUACCCUCCUCGAAAAUUUGACCAAUGGUUAAUUUUAAAUGCAAUUUAUCGAAGGAAUUGGCGAACAAAGCGUCACCAUCACAGACAGAAUACCUCCAGCUCUGGUAGGGCCUUCAGUUAUCAAAAGAAGGUCAAAUUUAAGCAAGAAAAAUGUUAUUUCCUGAUGAUGCUCUCCCCGGUUAAAACUAAAAUUUGCUGCCACAACUUCCUUUGCCUAUUUUCAAUAACAUAUAUAGUACUGGUGGUUAUUUUUGCCGUUCCAUAACGUUUGACAAAAAAGAACAAGAAAAAGAAAAAGAAAAGAAACAGGCAAUUCUCAUCACUCCCCAGUUCUCUGUGACCGGGAUCUCCUCACUCAGCCGAGGAGGCGAGCUAAGGUUGAAUGGGGGAUAUUUGACUAGCUUGGUGUUGAUCAUUUAGGGACAACCAAACUUGAACGACCUAUACCUAAUCAUCAUGUUUGGUAACCUUUAGUUGUCCAAAUUGUGAUCAGCCAAUGUCGUUGCCCUUUUCGAUGUAACUGGUUGAGUUAUCAUAAUUUUUCAAUGAACGUUUGAGUACUUGAAUAUGGCAAAAUGAAAUGUAAAUUUCCGUUUUUCCAGUGUCCUGAGGAACUCGAAGUCAUUGUCGCAGGAUAUUUGAAACUCCCGUUAUCAAAAGGAAUUUGUGAGUAGAACAGAGUUAUCCCUACACUGAAACUGAUAAUGCUGACACCUAUAUAUCUACUCGUAUGUAUAUGGAUUCAGUUUCCGAUAUUUAGGUUUUAUUGUGUGGAGUCAAGCCCAUGUUUCUUCUUGAUGUUGGCUCUGAUGCGUCGGGGCAUCUUCUGGUCUUAGAAUAUCGGCUACGCCGGAGGGCUUGAUGCUUUGGUUUUAUUCAUACAAGGUUUUUGCAUAAAUGUCAAUUCGAAUGAUGCAUAGUAUGCCACAUGGCGACCUUGGGUUUGUUCCGUUCGUAUACCAGAUGGGCCACACCGAUCAGGAAAACUUGGCCUAAAAGUCUGAUUUUGCGGGGAAUCAAAUGUGCGCGUCAAAUAUAUCCUUUUUUGUACCUGUACAUGGCUUAUUAACCAGAAUACUGGCCACAAUCGAGCAGUGGGAUGAUUUAUCAUCAUCUCCGGAGCCUUACAAUCAGCUACCUGGUUAAAAUUGGCGGGCGUUAACUCUUUCAUGCAUAGCUAUAUUGUUUUAACGGUACGUCAUCAUCUGCUAAGCCAAAGCCUUCUUAACACGAUUUCAUACUUUGUGGCAGUUGCAUUGGGCAAUCUAAGCUUAGGAUAACCUAUGUAGGCGGUUUUUUGGGUCAAUAUACUGCAUAACGCUGAGAUCGAUACAAACGAAAGGGUCAGUGCCCUCGUAAC
rnacentral:sRNA from 2 species